AAUGGUGUGGUCACAUCUCAAGAAGUUCCUGCCUUGCCGAGACCAUCGUGUAAGGCACAGUGAGGGCCGGGCGAAGACGAGGAAGACAGAAGAAGCGAUGGCUGUGUAACACCAGAGAGUGGACAGGCCUUGACUUUGCCAGCUUACAGGGGACAGUUGAGGACAGACAGUGAUGGCGAGGACUGAUUGCGGAUUCAACAGCGGUGCCCCAACGACCUCUCGAGAGGUUGCGGGAUAGGUGAGAUGAGAUAUCAAGCCACUUUGGCCAAGCCUGCAAGAACAAAGAGAUCAAAAGUGCCUUCCUCUGGCCACGGAGUGGCAGAGCCGCCUGUUCUCCGACGCCGUCUCUUGUUUACAGCUUUCAUCUUAUCCUGCAGCAGCGGGCGUUGCGUCAUCAGCAUGCUUUCUGCUGUUGGAGGGGUUGCCAUGGUCCCGUGUUCGGGGCUCUCACG